UUUCCGUAGGUGAACCUGCGGAAGGAUCAUUAAAGAGUAAGGGUCUUCGGGCCCGAUCUCCAACCCUUUGUUUAACUACCAUGUUGCUUUGGCGGGCCCGUCUCACGACCGCCGGAAGUUUGGCUUCGACCAAACUACUGGCCCGUGCCCGUCAGUGGCCCCUUCAAAUUCUUGAUCAAGUAUGAUGUCUUAGUUAAAAACUUAAUAGUUAAAACUUUCAACAACGGAUCUCUUGGUUCUG
rnacentral:misc_RNA from 1 species